GGAGAGAUAGCUUAGAGGUUAAGAGCACUAGCUGUUCUUCUAGAGGACCUGGGUUCAAUUCCCAGCACCC
rnacentral:tRNA from 1 species